GCAUAACGCGAAGAACCUUACCAGGUCUUGACAUCCUCUGACCAUCCUAGAGAUAGGACCUUCCCCUUCGGGGGACAGAGUGACAGGUGGUGCAUGGUUGUCGUCAGCUCGUGUCGUGAGAUGUUGGGUUAAGUCCCGCAACGAGCGCAACCCUUGUCCUUAGUUGCCAGCAUUCAGUUGGGCACUCUAAGGAGACUGCCGGUGACAAACCGGAGGAAGGUGGGGAUGACGUCAAAUCAUCAUGCCCCUUAUGACCUGGGCUACACACGUGCUACAAUGGAUGGUACAAAGGGCUGCGAAGCCGCGAGGUGGAGCCAAUCCCAUAAAACCAUUCUCAGUUCGGAUUGCAGGCUGCAACUCGCCUGCAUGAAGCCGGAAUCGCUAGUAAUCGCGGAUCAGCAUGCCGCGGUGAAUACGUUCCCGGGUCUUGUACACACCG
rnacentral:rRNA from 1 species